GGGGAUAUAACUCAGUUGGUAGAGUGCUUGCAUGCACAGGCCCUGGGUUCAAUCCCCAGCACCACCA
rnacentral:tRNA from 1 species